rnacentral:rRNA from 1 species
GGGUUGUGAGGUUAAGCGACUAAGCGUACACGGUGGAUGCCCUGGCAGUCAGAGGCGAUGAAGGACGUGCUAAUCUGCGAAAAGCGUCGGUAAGGUGAUAUGAACCGUUAUAACCGGCGAUGUCCGAAUGGGGAAACCCAGUGCAAUUCGUUGCACUAUCGUUAACUGAAUACAUAGGUUAACGAGGCGAACCGGGGGAACUGAAACAUCUAAGUACCCCGAGGAAAAGAAAUCAACCGAGAUUCCCCCAGUAGCGGCGAGCGAACGGGGAGCAGCCCAGAGUCUGAAUCAGCUUGUGUGUUAGUGGAACGGUCUGGAAAGUCCGACGGUACAGGGUGAUAGUCCCGUACACCAAAAUGCACAGGUUGUGAACUCGAAGAGUAGGGCGGGACACGUGGUAUCCUGUCUGAAUAUGGGGGGACCAUCCUCCAAGGCUAAAUACUCCUGACUGACCGAUAGUGAACCAGUACCGUGAGGGAAAGGCGAAAAGAACCCCGGCGAGGGGAGUGAAAAAGAACCUGAAACCGUGUACGUACAAGCAGUGGGAGCACCUUCGGGUGUGACUGCGUACCUUUUGUAUAAUGGGUCAGCGACUUAUAUUCUGUAGCAAGGUUAACCGUAUAGGGGAGCCGCAGGGAAACCGAGUCUUAACUGGGCGUUAAGUUGCAGGGUAUAGACCCGAAACCCGGUGAUCUAGCCAUGGGCAGGUUGAAGGUUGGGUAACACUAACUGGAGGACCGAACCGACUAAUGUUGAAAAAUUAGCGGAUGACUUGUGGCUGGGGGUGAAAGGCCAAUCAAACCGGGAGAUAGCUGGUUCUCCCCGAAAGCUAUUUAGGUAGCGCCUCGUGAACUCAUCUUCGGGGGUAGAGCACUGUUUCGGCUAGGGGGUCAUCCCGACUUACCAACCCGAUGCAAACUACGAAUACCGAAGAAUGUUAUCACGGGAGACACACGGCGGGUGCUAACGUCCGUCGUGAAGAGGGAAACAACCCAGACCGCCAGCUAAGGUCCCAAAGUCAUGGUUAAGUGGGAAACGAUGUGGGAAGGCACAGACAGCCAGGAUGUUGGCUUAGAAGCAGCCAUCAUUUAAAGAAAGCGUAAUAGCUCACUGGUCGAGUCGGCCUGCGCGGAAGAUGUAACGGGGCUAAACCAUGCACCGAAGCUGCGGCAGCGACACUAUGUGUUGUUGGGUAGGGGAGCGUUCUGUAAGCCUGCGAAGGUGUGCUGUGAGGCAUGCUGGAGGUAUCAGAAGUGCGAAUGCUGACAUAAGUAACGAUAAAGCGGGUGAAAAGCCCGCUCGCCGGAAGACCAAGGGUUCCUGUCCAACGUUAAUCGGGGCAGGGUGAGUCGACCCCUAAGGCGAGGCCGAAAGGCGUAGUCGAUGGGAAACAGGUUAAUAUUCCUGUACUUGGUGUUACUGCGAAGGGGGGACGGAGAAGGCUAUGUUAGCCGGGCGACGGUUGUCCCGGUUUAAGCAUGUAGGCUGGUUGUCCAGGCAAAUCCGGAUAAUCAAGGCUGAGGUGUGAUGACGAGGCACUACGGUGCUGAAGUAACAAAUGCCCUGCUUCCAGGAAAAGCCUCUAAGCAUCAGGUAACAUCAAAUCGUACCCCAAACCGACACAGGUGGUCAGGUAGAGAAUACCAAGGCGCUUGAGAGAACUCGGGUGAAGGAACUAGGCAAAAUGGUGCCGUAACUUCGGGAGAAGGCACGCUGGUGUGUAGGUGAAGUCCCUGCGGAUGGAGCUGAGACCAGUCGAAGAUACCAGCUGGCUGCAACUGUUUAUUAAAAACACAGCACUGUGCAAACACGAAAGUGGACGUAUACGGUGUGACGCCUGCCCGGUGCCGGAAGGUUAAUUGAUGGGGUUAUCCGUAAGGAGAAGCUCUUGAUCGAAGCCCCGGUAAACGGCGGCCGUAACUAUAACGGUCCUAAGGUAGCGAAAUUCCUUGUCGGGUAAGUUCCGACCUGCACGAAUGGCGUAAUGAUGGCCAGGCUGUCUCCACCCGAGACUCAGUGAAAUUGAACUCGCUGUGAAGAUGCAGUGUACCCGCGGCAAGACGGAAAGACCCCGUGAACCUUUACUAUAGCUUGACACUGAACAUUGAGCCUUGAUGUGUAGGAUAGGUGGGAGGCUUUGAAGCGUGGACGCCAGUCUGCGUGGAGCCAACCUUGAAAUACCACCCUUUAAUGUUUGAUGUUCUAACGUUGGCCCCUGACCGGGGUUGCGGACAGUGUCUGGUGGGUAGUUUGACUGGGGCGGUCUCCUCCCAAAGCGUAACGGAGGAGCACGAAGGUUAGCUAAUCCUGGUCGGACAUCAGGAGGUUAGUGCAAUGGCAUAAGCUAGCUUGACUGCGAGCGUGACGGCGCGAGCAGGUGCGAAAGCAGGUCAUAGUGAUCCGGUGGUUCUGAAUGGAAGGGCCAUCGCUCAACGGAUAAAAGGUACUCCGGGGAUAACAGGCUGAUACCGCCCAAGAGUUCAUAUCGACGGCGGUGUUUGGCACCUCGAUGUCGGCUCAUCACAUCCUGGGGCUGAAGUAGGUCCCAAGGGUAUGGCUGUUCGCCAUUUAAAGUGGUACGCGAGCUGGGUUUAGAACGUCGUGAGACAGUUCGGUCCCUAUCUGCCGUGGGCGCUGGAGAAUUGAGGGGGGCUGCUCCUAGUACGAGAGGACCGGAGUGGACGCAUCACUGGUGUUCGGGUUGUCAUGCCAAUGGCACUGCCCGGUAGCUAAAUGCGGAAGAGAUAAGUGCUGAAAGCAUCUAAGCACGAAACUUGCCCCGAGAUGAGUUCUCCCUGAGACUUUAAGUCUCCUGAAGGAACGUU